rnacentral:lncRNA from 1 species
AAUGUUUACUUUCUGUUGAAUUUAAAAUGUUAAUGUGUGAAUGUUUUAAUUUAAUAUUGUUUGAAUGUUAUUGUGUGAUUCUCCUCUUUCCUUCUUUACGAUUACGUGAUCGAUCAUCCCACCUCACAUGGUAUCAGAGCUUUUGAAGCUGAUCGACGGGUGAUAGUGAGGAUAAGGCUCUGGUAGUUUUGUUUGCGAAAUUCUCUCAUUCUCGUGCGAUAGUGAGGAUAAAAUAUAAAGAUUUGUUUUCCCAUGAGAUGAGGUAGCCUGUCAGUUGGUCAUUCAGUUCAGAGCAGUCACCAUACCUAGCUCAUAAUAAGCGCAACAUAGUCGUUGGACCCCCCUUGGAAGUGUUGGAUCGAGAUCCGAGGCUAUAAGAGGGGAUAAUAGCCUCUUUUCGAUUAAUGCAAGUUAAUAGCGGAAUUACCUGCACACACUUAAGUACACAAAUGGUUGUAUAAUAAUAAUAGUAUAAUAUUUUUAGCAAUAUAAUACUAUUAUAUAAUUUUAAAGAAUAUAAUAUUAUAUCUUAUAAUAUUAUAUAUUGGACUUGCCUUUUUUGCUCUUUAAGUUUACUACAGUAUAUGAAUACGUAGUCAACUUUUCAGAUGGUGUUUUAUAAACAACUAUAGUAUAUGAAUACUAAGUUAUAUUAUAAACACAAGUUAUAUUAUAGAGUAAAUGACCAGAUAACUAGAUAUAUUGAUAAGCAAGUAAAUGACCAGAUAACUGGAUAUAUUGAUAAACAAGUAGAUGACCAGAUAACUGGAUAUAUAUGAUAAGUAAAUGCUUGAACACAUAUGAAUAAAGCAAUGAAUAUAACCUCAGAUGGUUGACCAGAUAACUGGAUGAGGGAUCUACGUAAAGUAGUCAACCUCUGUAUUUGACCAGAUAACUGGAAGAGGGAUCUUUUUAAUUAAGUGUUGUUUUUAGAUAAAAGAUAAAACUAUAAUUAACAGAGAACAACACAAGAGAUUUAUACUGGUUCACCCAAACAAGGGCUAGUCCAGUCCCGACCAACUGCCGGAAUUCACUCGCCUAAAGGUAAUGGCAAAACCUUAGAGUAUCAAGGAAACUCUUAAGAACCUCUCUAAGCUUUAAGGCUACUUCGCUUAGGAACCAGUCUUUUACGGGUAGACUCACACCUUAGAGUAUCAAGGGCACUCUUAAGAACCUCUAACUUUUACGGGUAAGUUAGUACCUUAAAGUAUCAAGGAACUCUUAAAAACCUCUCUAAGCUUUAAGGCUACUUCGCUUAGGAACCAGUCUUUUACGGGUAGACUCACACCUUAGAGUAUCAAGGGCACUCUUAAGAACCUCUAACUUUUACGGGUAAGUUAGUACCUUAGAGUAUCAAGGAACUCUUAAAAACCUCUGAAAUCUUUAAAGGUAGACUCAACCUAAGAGUUUUCCCGGAAACUCUAUAAAACCAAACUAGAGCUUUAUGGUUGAGCUCACAAACCUUCUCUCACACUUUGGUACUAUUGAGACAACCCUCUCAACCAAAGUGGAGACACACAAGAGGUGAUUAGAGGAGUGGAAUAUUAAAGCAAACAACACUUCUUACUUGUAAAGAUGAACAAGAAGAUUAGAAGAAGAAGUUGGAGAGCUUUUGAAGCUUUGGAAAGCUAUGACACUUGAGCACUUGAAAGCUUGGAAGCUUGGAGGCAAAAACGUGUGGGCAAGUGUGGAGUGAAAGCUCUUGAGUUUGCUUGUAGUGUGGUGAGUGAAAAUGAGGGGAUUACCCUUCUAUUUAUAGCCUUGGCCACUCAAUGUCCACUCUUGGAUCUUUAAUGGAUGGCUCCUUGAUUUCUCACAUAAAUCCAAGCUUUGUCUUUGAUCUUAUCUUGAAUAGUGUUUUUCUUGGAUAGAGUUUGUUGGAGAAUCUUAUCUUUGUAUAAAUUCAAACUUGAAUAGUGUUUUGUCCCCUUGGAAUAUUAUACCUUGAAUAAAGUGUCAAAAGAUAAUAAUAAUAAUAUUCAAGGUAAAAAUGCAAUUAUUCCAAACAAUAAUAUUCAAGGUGAAAAAGCAAUUCUCCCAAUUUGACUUUUAACUUUGACUUAAACACUUAACUCAAAUGAUUAAUUAAUUAACUGGAGUUAAGUUUAAUAUCGAUUGACUUAUUUAACCCCUAUUGAUUAAUAGUGUAAUUAGGGUUUAAAUUGACAUGAUUAAAAUAUAAUCCUAUGUUGACAAUUUUGAUUCUACAUUCUCCCCCUUUGUCGAUGGCAUAUAUGUUUUAACUCAUGUCUAGUCAAUAUUCUAUUUUACCCUUAUGAGCAUGCUCCCCCUGAAUUAUUGACCCAUAAUAUUCAAUUUAAAAGCAGUGGAUCAUGCAUGAUCUCUCCCCCUUAAAACAAUAAGGUAUCGACAAAGUUAAAAAUAGAUACCUGUGAAGUAUCUCCCCCUUAAUGAUAGGACAUAUCUAAUUUGUGGAGAAAAUAAAAUUUCAUACCUCAUUGAGCUUUAAUCACAAAUUCGAUUUGUGUGGUUGACCAAAUGUGACGUCUUGCUUAUAAGAGUGUUAGUCAAUCAUAAAGGAGAAAUAACAUGUAAUUUAUGCUCAUUGAUAAAAUAUUGGAUUGAAGCCAAUUUUGAUAUACAUUAUAAGGCAAGUAUGAUAUGAUAAUUUAGAUUGCCAUGUGCUAAGAUCAUGCAAUGAAUAAUAAUCCAUGUGUGUGUUAUGGAUGAAGAUGAUCUUAACAUGUAUGGAUUAAAGAUUUUAUAAUGUUAUAAUCCAUAAGAUAUUAGUGAAUGAUAUGUAUAAAUCCAUAAUAUUCACUAAUUGCUUUAAUAAGAAGUUGAGCAUUUAAAAUUUUAAAAUCUAUGUCUUAGUGACAAAUAUAAUCAUGUAAAUAUUCACUAAGUUUUAAAAGAUUUAAAAUUUUCAUUUCAGUCCUUAAAGCCUUAGUAGUAAAACUUCACUUAAAACAAAAUUUCAUUUAAGCCUUGGAAGUAUUAACUAAUUCUAAGCACUUUUCAAUUUGAAAACUUUAUGUAAAUAUUAAUUUUAAGUCCCUGAAGUUUUAACUAAAUAUUCAUUGUAAUGAUAUCCUUUGAACCCUUAAUGAAAAACUUCAUAGAUAAUUUAAUCCCUUUGAAGUUAUAAUGAAUACUUAGAUUAAUACUUAAAAAAUUUCAUUUUAAACCUUGGAAGUAUUAAAUAUUUCUAAGUAAUUUUUUGAUUAAAGCUUAAUGUAAAUAUUGAUUCUAAGUCCCUGAAGUUUUAACUCAAUUUAUAUUCACUGUAAAGUUAUCAUUUUGACCCUUAAGUUUUAGUGAAUCUUAAAAACUUCAUAAACGUUUAAGUCCUUGAAGUUUUACGAAACUUUAUAUUCACUAAAAAAUAUAAUUUUAAUCCUUAAGUUUCAGUGAAUCAUUUUAAACUUAGAAACUUCAAACAUAAUUUAUGUUUAAGCCCUUGAAGCUUCUAGUUUAUCCAUACAACCCUUAAAUAUUUGAAUCUCUAAAAGAUCUUGAAGAUAUGGAGUUAAUCAUAUUUAUUUAAUAAACUUAGAAACUUCAAACAUAAUUUAUGUUUAAGCCCUUGAAGCUUCUAGUUUAUCCAUACAACUUAGUGAGAAAUUGAUUUUUCAUUGAAGUUUUUCACUAAAAAUAAAGCAAGCUUAGGUCUAUGGUUAGACCUUAAACAAAAUAGACUUAAACAAAGUAGAAACAUCUAUUUAACAGAUGUUGUAGUGGUGUUUGAACACCAUCGAUCAAACUAAAAAGGAACAUCUAAAUCAGAUGGCAUCGAGUAGGCAUAGCAAGCUAAUCAAAACCAUGGUUGAUGGUGUUAGCUUCCUCAGUGGGAACUUUUAACAUCUCGAUUUGAUAUUGCAAGUCUGCGAUCAGAACUCCUUGGUUUUUAAUACUUGAUUCCAGCACUUUAAUCCUUGAUUUUGCCUCAUCGAUCUCUUUAAACAGGUGAGUAGUUAUCUCAGAUUGACUUACUUGCUUCUUCCCUGUGAUGAGAUCCAUCACCUUUUCCAGUCUGGAUCAUAAGAAUCCAUUUUGAAGAUGGUAGGAAUGGGUGAGAAAGGAAGGUUUUGGUUUGAGAGUGAACAACCUAGUAUUUAUAGAUGAAGCUUUUAGGUUUCCAAAAAUUUCUUGUUUUUGGUUUGACUAAGCCAUGAAAAAUCGUUUUAUCUUGUAGUCUCCUUCUCAAAAAGAGAGUUCUUUAAUUUCCCAUGUACUGACAUGACUUGUUAGAUUUAACAAGUAAUGAGAUUUUAAAACUAUCAUCUAAGAGCUAGCUAGGAUCUUAGCAAGGCUUGUAUUUUAGUAGCUUGUAACCAGAAUAAUAUUUAAUUUAAAACAUACCUUUUGGUGGUCUUCAAUGCAUUCUUUGUACUAUGCACGAUAGUCCAUGCUCCUAGCUGUCGUGAGUGACUAGUUGUGACAGGUUUGCUAGAUGAAGUUGCAGCAUCGAUGUUGUAGAAUGUGCAGAAGACGAUUCUUAAUGCCAUGAGGUAAGGUUUGGAUUACCAAUACCAUGUGAUGUUGAUUUUGCUCAAUAUAUUAUAUUCAAGAUAUGACAUAAUGCAGUAUGGGUGCAACAUAAUAUUAAUUUCAUAAUUUUUCCAUACAUGUAAGUGAUGACAUGUCAUAUGCAUGAGUCAAUUUAAACAGUAGUAAAGACAUGACAUAUUUUGGCAUAAUCAUUUCAUAAAAUUAUAAUUCUCAUUGUAUACACAUCGUUUGUUCACUUGUAGAUCAUGUAUGUGAAUGAUAAGCAUGUCCAUGUAAACAACUAUUUAUAGUAGCAUGCAAUGUAUUAACAGCGUUCAAUUGUAAGCAUGCAUAUAAUUUAUAGUAACAUGGCAUAUACGAUAGUCAUGCAUUCAAGUUAAGCUCUUCACGUUAUGCAUGCAAAUAAUGAAUUAUAUGUAUAUACUUAGUCAUGUAAAUCUUAGAUUUGUAAAUUCAUGCAUACGUAUAUUCAUUUUACUGUGAUUAUGAUCAAAGUUAUAACAAUAUUCAAGUGAAGAAUAAACCUGAGAUACAUUAACUCAUAACUAAUCAAAUUUCACUAAGCUCACAUAUACCCAUAGAUCUUCUGAUUUUUGAAUGAACUUCUUGAUCUAAGGGUUUAGUGAAGAUGUCAGCCAUUUGAUCUUCAGUAGAAAUAUAUUCUAGGCAUGUAUUUUUCUUUUCUACAUGAUCUCUAAGGAAAUGAUGUCUGACAUCAAUGUGUUUAGAUCUUGAAUGUAACACAGAGUUUUUUGAUAAACAAAUUGCACUCUUGUUGUCACAUUUAAGAGCUACUGUUUCUAAAGCUAUAUCGUAGUCGGAUAAUGUUUGUUUCAUCCACAAAAUUUGAGUGCAUGCAUUAGACGCUGCCAUAUAUUCUGCUUCAGUUGUGGAUAAAGCAAUACUAUUUUGCUUUUUACAUGACCAUGCUACGAGUGAGCUUCCUAACAGAAAGCAUGUUCCACUAGUGCUUUUUCACUCAGUCUUACAUCCACCAAAGUCAGCAUCACAGUAUGCUGUCAGUGUGAAUGAGUUGUCCUUAGGGUAGAAUAAUCCAAGUGUAAUUGUUCCUUUGAUAUACCUGAUUAUUCUUUUAACCGCUUUGAGAUGUGACUCUUUUGGGUCUGAUUGGAAUCUGGCACAUAAGCAGACUGCAAACAUGAUGUCUGGUCUGCUGGCUGUUAGGUAUAGCAGUGAUCCAAUCAUUCCUCUGUAUUUCUUAAUGUCUACUGAUUGACCUUUAACAUCUUUGUCCAAUUUAAGAGUUGAACUCAUCGGAGUUGGCAUAGAUUUAGAUUCAGUCAAGUCAAAUUUCUUUAUCAAUUCCUUAGCAUAUUUGACUUGACUUAGAAAUAUUCCAUUCUCCUUCUGUUUGACUUGUAGACCUAAGAAAAAAUUCAACUCUCCCAUCAUACUCAUUUCAAAUUCGUUUUCCAUUUGUUUGGAAAAUUUCUUACAUAGAGUAUCAUCGGUUGAUCCAAAUAUGAUGUCAUCAACAUAGAUUUGAAUUAGAAUAAUGUCACUUUUGACAUUUUUAAUGAACAAUGUAUUAUCUAUACUCCCCAUUCUAAAUUCCUGAGAAGUGAGAAAGUUUCUUAGUCUUUCAUACCAAGCUCGGGGUGCUUGUUUCAGACCAUAGAGGGCUUUCUUAAGUUUAAGGACAUGAUCAGGGUUUUUGUAAUCUUCGAAACCAGGGGGUUGUCUAACAUAUACUUGUUCAUUGACUAUUCCAUUCAAGAAUGCACUCUUUACAUCCAUUUGAUAUAAUUUGAAAUCUUUGUAACAUGCAAAGGAUAGGAGCAUUCUGAUAGACUCUAGUCUAGCUACUGGUGUAAAGGUUUCAUCAUAAUCAAUUCCUUUUUGUUGAUUGUAUCCUUGCGCAACCAGUCUAGCUUUGUUUCUGACUAUAGUUCCAUCUUCAUUCAGCUUGUUUCUGAAUACCCAUCUUGUCCCAAUGAUUGAUGUAUCUUUUGGUUUUGGAACUAGUUCCCAUACAUCAUUUCUCUCAAAUUGGUUGAGUUCUUCUUGCAUAGCUUGAAUCCAGUAGUUGUCGUCGAGGGCUUCAUCAACUUUCUUGAGCUCAAUUUGAGAGACAAAACAGUAAAGAAUACUGUUUCCUUGAAUGGAUGAUCUGGUUUUAACACCAGCUUGAUGGUCACCAAUGAUUUGAUCAGUGGAAUGUGGGUUCCUGAGCAACCUGUUGGAUGGAGGCUCAAAGACUUCGAUUUCGACAUUGGUAGUUUCUUCAGUUGGAAUGAUGAUUUCUUGUUCUGGAACUAUUUCAUCUUCUUCUACAAUGGUUGUCUGAGUGGAUUCAUCAAAGUCAACGUGUAAUGAUUCGAUCAUUAUUUGUUUUUCUUUGAGAAGAAUUUUGUAAGCUUUGCUCCUUCUAGAGUAUCCUACCAGGAUACCUUCAUCAGAUUUAUGAGCAAAUUUAUCUUGGUUGCCUCUUGUUCGGAGAACAUAACAUUUGCAUCCAAAGACCUUGAAGUAUGAGACUUUUGGCUUUCUUCCAUUCCAGAUCUCAUAUGGAGUUUUGUUCAAGGUUUUUCUAAUAAUCACCUUGUUUAAUAUAUAACAGGCUGUGUUAACAGCUUCUGCCCAAAGAUACUGUGGUGAAUCAUGUUCUUGUAACAUGGAUCUACUCAUUUCUUGUAGAGUUCUGUUUUUCCUUUCAACAACUCCAUUCUGAGGGGGUGCUUGGGGAAAAGCAAAUUCAUGUUUUAUUCCAUGAGUUUUGCCAAAUUCUUCAAACUCAGAGUUCUCGAAUUCUCCUCCAUGAUCACUUCUGAUUCUUUUUAUGAGGACAUCCUUCUCAUUUUGUACACGUGUACAAAAUGAUGAGAACUCGUUGAAUGAGUCACUUUUAUUUCGUAAGAAGAAAACCCAAGUAAAUCUUGAGUAAUCAUCUACUAUUACAUACGUAAACCUUUUAUCGCCAAGACUUUGGGUUUGGGUUGACCCAAAUAAGUCCAUGUGUAGAAGUUCCAAAGGUCUGGACGUAGUAAUAUAUGUAAGGGAUUUGAAUGAGCUUUUAUGCUGUUUCCCCUUUUGACAAGCAUCACAGAGAUUACUUUUCUCAUAUGCUAUUUUAGGCAGUCCAGUCACCAGUUCUUCUUUUGAUAGUUUGGAUAAUCGAGAAUAACUGGUGUGACCUAACCUUCUACGCCAUAAAGUCUUUUCAUCACUUGCUGCAAUCAUGCAGAAGUCAUGAGUUGGCUUGGAGGGAUUAAAGGUUAUGGAAUAAACAUUGUUUUUCCUAAUCCUUUAGCAAUUAUAACUCCCUUGGAGUUAAUGAUUGAGCAUAGAUGUUUUUCAAAUUUAACUGUGCAAUCAUUAUCACAUAAUUGACUUAUGCUGAUAAGAUUAUGUUUAAGGCCAUUAACUAAGUAAACAUCUCUAAGAAAUGGUCUAUCUAUAUUACCUAUAUUACCCCUACCUACAAUGGUACCUUCGUUGUUAUCGGCGAACUUGACCUUUUUAGUAGUAGGCCAGUCGGUCAGGUCUGUCAGCAGACUUGAAUCUCCAGUCAUGUGCCUUGUGCAUCCACUGUCGAACAGCCAUUUUGACACAUGUUUUUCCUGAAAGAGUUGAAUAACCUUUUGGUACCCAUACUGAGUUGGGUCCAGAUGAAUUAACAUAGUUGAUUUGCUUAUAAUUUUUUAACUCAUCCUUGGUCAUCCAUUUUUGUUUUGGAUGAUUCAUCUUAGACAUAUUUUUCUUUUUCUUAAGAUGAAUAGGUUUUCUGUAGCUAGAUUCUCUUACAAAAUAAUUAUAAGUUAAAGCAUGUAAAGGUUUUUUAAUAGGUGCACUUGAUUCAAACCCUAAGCCAAAUUUCUUUUGACCUGAGCUUGAACCUUGCAAUAUGUCAUUUAGCUUAGAUGAACUAUUUGAGAAUUUUUCAAGAAUAUUAUUCUUCUGACCUAUUCUUUUGAUUUGUAAUUGCAUAUCAUUACAUUUUUCAGAUAAUUUUUGUAUGUUUUCUACAUGCUCAAGUAUGAUUUUGUCCUUAGAUUCUAUUUCUGUUUUGAGCAUGAUUGUUUCGUUUUCUUUUAACAUAAUGUCUUCUUCAAAAUUAUCUAUUUUUAAUUCUAGCAAUUCAAUCUUAUCAUCAUCCAUUUCCUUAGAUUGAUUUUCUUCAGAUUCUAAAAUAUUAAGCAAUUCAAAGUUUUGACUCUUAAGUAUCUUAACUUUUUCUUCAUCUUUGUUUAAUUUACUUGUGAGUUUUAGAUUUCUUUCUUUCAAUUGCAUGCAUUCUUUUUGUGAUUCUUCUAAUUCAAUAGAUUGAUCUAUAUGUGAUUUAUUCAUGCAUUCUAGUUUUAAUGACUUAGUUGAUUUUUUCUCAUUUUUAUAUUUUUCCAUUAAUUAUAGAUAUGCUUCUUCUAAAGAGUUAAAUCUAGUAUUUACAAAACUUACCUCAGAGUUGCUUUCAUGAGCCAUGAGACAAUCUUCUUGAUCCGAGUCGGAGUCUGUCCAUUGUGCCUGAUUUGCUCUUUCUUUCUUUAGCAGAGGACAUUCUGGUUGAUGUGUCCAGACCUGUCGCAUAGAUAACAGAUUGGUUCUUUUGACUCCUUGCUUAUUCUUCUGUCGAACUUCUGAUGACUUGACCUUGAGUCUUUCUUCUCUUUCCUCUUUUUCAGAUAUCUUCUCAAAUGAUUGGUGAUCAUUGCUAGAUCAUCUUCUGAUGUUUCAUUGUCAGAUUGACUUUUAAGAGCAAUAUCCUUUUUCUCUUCUUUAGCUCUAGAGAUGAAUCUUUCUUCUUCAUAGGCCAUCAGAUUUCCACAGAGUUCCACAACUGUAAGUUUGUUGAGAUCAUGAGCCUCUUGGAUCGCAUUCCUUUUGGAGUAGUACUUGUUUGGAAGGCUCCUCAGAAUUUUGCUUACUUGCUUCUUCUCAGUUACUGGAUCUUCUAGUCCAGCCAGAUCAUUAACUAUUUGUAAUAGUCUAAUGUUCAUCGCUGCGAUAGUCUCGUCUUCCUUCAUAGAAAAUCUUUCGAACUGAGAGGUAGCAUGUAACAGCUUGUUUUCUUUAACAUGGGAGGUUCCUUCAUGUAGAUCCUCCAAUGCUUUCCAUACCUUGUGAGCUGUAUCCAAGCAUCGAAUUCUGCUGUACUCAGAUUCAUUGAGUGCUCCAUAUAAAGCAUUCAAUGCUCUUGAGUUGUUGUUUUCCUUGAGGAUGUCCAUUUCUCCCCAAGUCUCUUCAUUGCUUGUUGGAAUUUCAUAAUCCUCUAAUAUGAUCUUCCAUACUCCAUUGUUGAUUGACUUCAAGUAUAACUUCAUCUUGUUCUUCGAGAAGUCAUACUUUACUCCAUCGAACCUGGGAGGUUUGUUUGACGCAAGACCAGUGUUGAAUUCACCAUUUGGUGCCAUAGUUGUUGUUGUAAGAUGUUAGUCAAACUUCAACGAUACUUGGCUCUGAUACCACUUGUUGGAUCGAGAUCCGAGGCUAUAAGGGAGGAUAAUAGCCUCUUUUCGAUUAAUGCAAGUUAAUAGCGGAAUUACCUGCACACACUUAAGUACACAAAUGGUUGUAUAAUAAUAGUAUAAUAUUGUUAGCAAUAUAAUACUAUUAUAUAAUUUUAAAGAAUAUAAUAUUAUAUCUUAUAAUAUUAUAUAUUGGACUUGCCUUUUGCUCUUUAAGUUUACUACAGUAUAUGAAUACGUAGUCAACUUUUCAGAUGGUGUUUUAUAAACAACUAUAGUAUAUGAAUACUAAGUUAUAUUAUAAACACAAGUUAUAUUAUAGAGUAAAUGACCAGAUAACUGGAUAUAUGAUAAGCAAGUAAAUGACCAGAUAACUGGAUAUAUUGAUAAACAAGUAGAUGACCAGAUAACUGGAUAUAUAUAUGAUAAGUAAAUGCUUGAACAAAUAUGAAUAAAGCAAUGAAUAUAACCUCAGAUGGUUGAUCAGAUAACUGGAUGAGGGAUCUGCGUAAAGUAGUCAACCUCUGUAUUUGACCAGAUAAUUGGAAGAGGGAUCUUUUUAAUUAAGUGUUGUUUUUAGAUAAAAGAUAAAACUAUAAUUAACAGAGAACAACACAAGAGAUUUAUACUGGUUCACCCAAACAAGGGCUAGUCCAGUCCCGACCAACUGCCGGAAUUCACUCGCCUAAAGGUAAUGGCAAAACCUUAGAGUAUCAAGGAAACUCUUAAGAACCUCUCUAAGCUUUAAGGCUACUUCGCUUAGGAACCAGUCUUUUACGGGUAGACUCACACCUUAGAGUAUCAAGGGCACUCUUAAGAACCUCUAACUUUUACGGGUAAGUUAGUACCUUAGAGUAUCAAGGAACUCUUAAAAACCUCUCUAAGCUUUAUGGCUACUUCGCUUAGGAACCAGUCUUUUACGGGUAGACUCACACCUUAGAGUAUCAAGGGCACUCUUAAGAACCUCUAACUUUUACGGGUAAGUUAGUACCUUAGAGUAUCAAGGAACUCUUAAAACCUCUGAAAUCUUUAAAGGUAGACUCAACCUAAGAGUUUUCCCGGAAACUCUAUAAAACCAAACUAGAGCUUUAUGGUUGAGCUCACAAACCUUCUCUAACACUUUGGUACUAUUGAGACAACCCUCUCAACCAAAGUGGACACACACAAGAGGUGAUUAGAGGAGUGGAAUAUUAAAGCAAACAACACUUCUUACUUGUAAAGAUAAACAAGAAGAUUAGAAGAAGAAGUUGGAG